rnacentral:misc_RNA from 1 species
UCGAGCGUCAUUACAACCCUCAAGCACUGCUUGGUAUUGGGCUCCGCUGCUUAUACAGCGGGCCUUAAAAUUAGUGGCGGUGUCAUCAGACCCUGAGCGUAGUAUAUAUCCUCGCUAUAGGGACUUGGUGACUACUGGCCAGCAACCCCCAACUUUCUAAGUUUGACCUCGGAUCAGGUAGGGAUACCCGUUGAACUUAA